rnacentral:rRNA from 1 species
CCUACGGGAGGCAGCAGUGAGGAAUAUUGGUCAAUGGGCGCGAGCCUGAACCAGCCAAGUAGCGUGAUGGAUGACGGCCCUACGGGUUGUAAACUUCUUUUAUACGGGAAUAAAGUGAUGCACGUGUGCCAUUUUGCAUGUACUUUAUGAAUAAGAGUCGGCUAACUCCGUGCCAGCAGCCGCGGUAAUACGGAGGAUCCGGGCGUUAUCCGGAUUUAAUGGGUUUAAAGGGAGCGUAGGUGGGUUGUUAAGUCAGUUGUGAAAGUUUGCGGAUCAACCGUAAAAUUGCAGUUGAUACUGGCAGUCUUGAGUACAGGAGAGGUAGGCGGAAUUCGUGGUGUAGCGGUGAAAUGCGUAGAUAUCACGAAGAACGCCGAUUGCGAAGGCAGCUUACUGGACUGCAACUGACACUGAGGCUCGAAAGUGUGGGUAUCAAACAGGAUUAGAUACCCGUGUAGUC